GAUGAACGCUGGCGGCGUGCUUAACACAUGCAAGUCGAACGAGAAGUGGAGACGGAAACCUUCGGGCGGAAGACUUUACUUCGAGUGGCGGACGGGUGAGUAACGCGUGGGUAACCUGCCUCGUACAGGGGGAUAACAGUUGGAAACGACUGUUAAUACCGCAUAAGACCACAGCACCGCAUGGUGCGGGGGUAAAAACUCCGGUGGUAUGAGAUGGACCCGCGUUCGAUUAGCCAGUUGGCGGGGUAACGGCCCACCAAAGCGACGAUCGAUAGCCGAUCUGAGAGGAUGACCGGCCACAUUGGGACUGCGACACGGCCCAAACUCCUACGGGAGGCAGCAGUGGGGAAUAUUGCACAAUGGGGGAAACCCUGAUGCAGCGACGCCGCGUGAGUGAAGAAGUAUUUCGGUAUGUAAAGCUCUAUCAGCAGGGAAGAAAAUGACAGUACCUGAGUAAGAAGCCCCGGCUAACUACGUG
rnacentral:rRNA from 1 species